UGCAGGGCCUUGGGGGUCAGGGGAGGACUUUUGCCCCAAAGGAGGUGGGGCCCCUAGAGGACUGUGAGCAGAGGAGGGCAGGACCUGACUCAGAGCUCAUGGGGGCUCUCUGGCCACCUUAGGACAGACAGGGAAGCGAGGACAGAAGCCAGGGGACCAGGGUAGAGGUGACUGCUCUGGUCCAGGAGGGCGAUUAUGGGAGCAGACCAGGGCAGAAGCAGGGCCCUCUCUUGUGGGGUGAGCCCCUCAGGGCCCAGAGGGCGGGAGCUCGGAGUCGUGGCUUCCAACCCCAGCUCCCUGCUUGCCCCUGGGAAGGCCCCUUGACCUCUCCGUGCCUCGGUUUUCUCAUCUACAAAAUGGAACAAUACCAGUGCCUGCCUACAGCAUGGCUGUGAGGUGCCCACGCGGGGCCAUGGAGAGCACGAUGGGGCCGUGCGCCCCAGCCCUCGCCAUCCCCAAACUCACCCAGCGUGAUGGGUUUGCUGUCCUCCUGGUCGGAGCCCAUCCCUGCCCGGGGACUACCGCUCUGCUCCGCGUCUGCAAAGAGAAGGAGGAGGACGGUGUGGUGACAUUGCAGGGGACCCCACCCCGGGGGGAGAGGAGGCCUCCGUGCCGGGGCCAGGCUGGGCAGCGCCGUGGAGAAGCGGUCCCGAGCUCGCCCAGGCCCGGGGGUCUCCGCUUGGCCCCCUCCCCUCGGCCUCUGCCCUUGAAGUCCCGGGGCCCCAGCCCUUGGUCUUGGGUUGUCACUCAGGGCCCCCAGGAGAGGGCAGAGGGGCGUCCCCCUGCAGCCGCCAUGCGGCUACCCACCCGCCUGGCUUGGGGGCUCCCUCCCACCCUGGCGCCCGCCCUCCAUCUUAUCUAAAAAUAAUCAGGCUCCUUGGCAGACGGCGAAACAGACAGACGCUGAGCUCAGCAUUAUCAGCUCCGGCAGCCUGGAUGGAGGGCGAGGCGCGCCAACCCCUUGCAGCCCCCACGGCGUCCACCCGGGACCGGGGUGGGGGCGGCGGGGGGGGGGGGGGACACCCACAAGCCCAGCCUGACGGAACCCCCGGCCCCGCCUAUCUGUCUCUGAGGUCAAACACCAAGGUGGUGGGAGUCACGGCCAGACGCCAAAGAAGGAGAACCAGCCCUUUCCACCUGCUAGGUUCCAAAGCCAGGCAUAACCCCUGUGUGCUCUCAGGGAAGUUGCUUAACUGUUCUGAGCCUCACUUCUCUCUUUCAAAUGGGUGUGGGCAUCACCGAGAGGUGGUAAAGAGGUAAUACGGACGGGUCGGGAGCCCCUAGGGCACGCCCAAAUCGAGUUCGAGCCCCGGAUCUGGUUCAGCGCGGACGGCGUGGAGCCCGCUUGGGAUUCUCUGUUUCCCUCCCUCUCUCUCUCGCUCUCAAAAUAAAUAAACUUAAAAGAAUAUUUUAAAUCCCUAAAAUGGCCCUAAACGUGGGCUUCACCUCAUUUUCGAGGUCUCCUUCAAUCCGUGAGAGCCACACGUCUGGCGUUUGUGAUUGUACCCAUUUUUUUUUUUGAUUGUGCCCAUUUUAUAGGCAAGGAAGCCUGAGGUUGGAACAGUGAGCAAGUGCCCACCCACGGCACUUGUGCCCCCACCCCAUCACCAGGGUGACUUUCUGCAUGAGUGGGCACGUGCGUCCAGACCUGCGACCCACGGCCGUGCGUUAACCGCCUGGCUUCCGGGAUCGGACGCCCGAGUUCCCAUCCCAGCUCCGGGAGCCUCCGAGGCGACGCGCCCUCCGCUCCCUCGGGAUCCCGUGGGGGUGACCGUGCGGACGCCUCCCCGGACGGCCGCGGAGCCCUCCCCGUGCGCCUCGUGGCUUGGCACACCCUGUGUGUCGAGCACCUCCUGCCCGCCAAGAUCGAGGGUGCCCUGAACGCCACCGGGCCGAGGACCCGUGCCUCAGUUUCCCGACCCGCCACAGGAGCGGACGGGGGCAGCCCCAGUCGUGACCCACUGGGCUGGGCAGGGCUGGGCAGCAGCCGAGGCGAGCGUGCCCGGCUCGGCCCCGUGCCCUGUGGCCGCUCCCAGACCGGGCUGCCAGCGGCCCCUUGGCUCCGGCCAGUUCCGCUUGGACGGCCACGCGGCUGGGCACGGUGGCCGCCGCGUUGGGAAGAGCCCAGCCCGGGCAGCUGGCCUCGGGCACAGGACCCUCUUCCGGAUCCGGCGCCCACACGGCCUCGGCAGGCAGCAGGGCGCGGCGGGCGCUCAGGCAAUGCCCGGUCAGGGCCGCAGGGCUGUGGGCCUCGUUCUCCUCAUCCGUGAAGUGGGCACAGCCACACGUCUCUCUCAGAGGCUGUCCCCUGACAGAAAAGGCGAUCGCGAAUACAAGAAAGAGCCCCAGACCGGGGUGGGGGGUGGGGGGCACACAGUAAGCACGUCGCCAGCCGGAGGGAGGCGUUAUCACUCUCCGUGCUGCGUCCCCCCCCCUCCCCUGUUUCCGUCUAGGGUGUUGUUACUUUGCAUCCGUGGAGAGCGAGGGCGCUCGGCCACAGCUGACUCUUAGCCAAGGUCGCCCUGUGACCUGGGGCCGGCCAGACCACCUCUCGGAGCCACGCGGUUUCCCGGGAACAGAAAGAUGGCAGAACCCACCUCCGGGCUUUGCCGGCCGCCAAGUCAGCGAAUGCGUGUGAAAGCGCUGGCAAGGACUUCCAGCACGAUACCGAACGGAAGUGGCGAGAGCGAGUGGCCCUUCUUGGUUCCGAUCUUGGGGAGACUCCCCAGUUUCUCACCCCCGAGCACGAUGGAGAUCCCUUCACUGGGGUCAAGGGGUUUACCCUUCCCUUUCUUUGGUCCGGGGAGCUUUUUUUUUUUUUUUAAAUUAAAUAAGCGUCGUUUCUAAACACUGA